UUUAAAAAAAGUGUAAACAAUGUUUGAAUCCUGGGGAUCUUACGUCAAGUGACGAAUUGUCAAAAUGCUCUAGAUUCCACCACCUGAUAUUUUUAAAUCCACCUUCGUGUGGAUGCAGGUGCACGAGAUUCCUGAACUCUGUGUGGUUUCUCUUACUGCUAAAUCGUAUGCACAGAAAGCUGCGCUACAACACACCCAGACUAAAAUUUAAAGGCCCCGAAACACAAUAUAAAUACACCGGUUCGUAGCCGGUAAAAUUAGCAGGAAAAAUUGACUAACAUCAAGCAAGCAACGGUGCUCCAGUGGGUAGAGGUUUCAUUCGAGAUGCGAUUCCAUCGAUAUCGAUGUGUGCGCUUUUCAAUUUGGCUUGGAUGAAACGUGCCUGUGCUUGCUAGGGGCCCCUAUACUUGUUUUGCAGAUGUGUGCCGAAAACGGACAGCUUUCACGCGAAAAAUGGUAUUCAUAUCUCAAGCCAGAGAUCGUGAAGCGUGCCUGCUUUUAAACCAAAACCUUACAUUUUCACGCGGGGCCCUACUCAUCUUUUGUGGUCAACUGACAAAUAGGGGAAAUCGGGAAGGGGUGGUAUUCUUAUGUCUGAAAAGGAACUGGGCCAUGUUAAUAUUAAAAUGAUGUUUUAUCACUAUUUACAUACAACUUUUUACGUGAAGACAAGAUAAAAAAAAACCGUUACAGCUAUAUUGAAGCCAAAACUCAAAGGUGGUUUACGGGGCCCCAACGAUUAUGUGAACUUUUCGAUGAAGGGCCCCCGUCGGUAAGGGCCCCCGUCGGUAAGGAGGCCUCGUCAAUAAGGGGCCCCGUGCAUUUGGUGUCUUAGUGUGGAUGGUCUGUGCACGAGCUCACCAAAAAAACGGGGAGACACUUGCUGCUAAAAUCCAAUGCACAGAACACAGAACAGAACGCUGCGUUUAACCUCAAAGAAAACCCGUAACAACAGCCACAAGCACACAUCAUACACAGACAAAAAUUUAAAGGCCCCUACACAGAAUUUCAAUACACCGGCUCGUAGCCGGAGAAAUUAGCAGGAAAAAUUGACACCAAGCUCGCGUCGCUUUAAAAAGCCUAGGAAGGUCGUUUGGUCAACGGUGCUUCAGUGGGUUGAGGUUUCAUUCGAGAAAUGGUUAAAUCGAUCCCAAGUAGCAACCGAAGCUUUUUUCUCCCAGUUUCAACCCCCUCAUGUCCACAAACUGCCUUCGCUUACUAUUCCUAUCUCGUUUCUACAUUCUACAACGUUUGUUGCGUUCUCGCUCAUCAGGGUGUUAGUCAAUUCUCUCUUGCCACACGAAGAGAAUUAUCCUGCACACUUCGUGUGUUGGAUUCUACCCAUCCCUGUUGAACAUACGUCAUUUUCUUCCAUCGCACUCAUCAGGGUGUUUGCUCUUUUCCAUCCAAGCCAAAGAGCGACUUCAGUGUGCUCUGAACCGUGGAUGUGAGAGUGCGUGUUUGUGUGCUGCGUGAACUGUUUUUCCUGCGUGAAACACUUUCCAUACUGCGCCAUCCGCGGUGUUCUUUCUGCUUCAUCGGAGGACGAAUUUUUAUCAUCUAAUUGUUUGGAUGUGUGCUGCUACCGCUAGCUGUUCCUCAAACUACUUAAAAAGUGUGACACUGUGUGCACAGGCGUUCAAGUUUCAAUUGAUCCUCAAGCACAAAGCCUUCAUACAACACCGCGGUUGAGGUGCACCAAAUCUGAUGACAUCUUUCCUGAACCAAGCAGGCUGAACACGCGCACCACCACGGGCUCCAGCGCGGUGUGAAGAGGGAAGAAGAAAAGACAGAAUUGGAAACAGCCGCACCAGGCUUCCAACCACCGUGUGUGUGUAUGUAAGUAUGUGAGAACACAUGUGUGAAUCCUCUUGUGGGAACUGCAAAAAGAAGAGAAUUAAGAGUGUGAAGCAGCUAGACUGCCGCAACCAAAUCAAAAGAGUGAAUUCUCAUUUCAAUCCGAAAAACUGGGAGAGAGUGAUGGCAUGCGAGAGAGAAUAAAACUAGAAACACCCCAACAGUCAAAAGCCGAAGAUUUUAUAUUGACCUUUCACUUUUUCUAUCUGUCUCUCGCUCUAAUUUGAGCGAUUUUCCCCUGAUGAGUGUCCCCGAGCCUCCUCGUGUGGUUGUUGUUGUUGGAAGUUGAAGCCGAAACCCCCUCGUGCGCUGCCAAAAUCAGCGAAGAACGAAAUCGAGUGGCUCAAGCGAAAAAACGAAAAAAAAAAUGACGAACGAGUGUGCUGUGACAAUAACACACACACGCACAAGGCGACACCCGAAAUCUGGUGCGAUACCGGCUUUCAGUGGAGCAAGUACACACAUGCACACAUUUGGCCACACCACGGUGAUACAACACACAGCCACGCACUUGGCGAUACACGCUGUGUGGUGCGGUGCGGCGGACGUUCAGAAUUCAGUGGUGCAAAUACACACAUGCAUACACUUGGCGACACACGCUCUGCUUUGCGGUGAGGUUUGUGUUCUGUGUCCAGUGGUGCAAAUACACACACACACGCACUUGGCUACACACGCAGUACGGCGCGGUUGGCUUGGCAGAAGCGCAUACACACAUUCACGCAGUAGGCUUUACUUUCAGUCCAGUGAGGUUGGUGCUUGUGUGGUGUUUCAGCGCUUGGUAGUCAGCGGAUAAACCCCGUAAAAAAUAGAGUUUUGUUUAAUUUGAGGUAAGUAAAAGUGAUUAAAAUUUUCAACCAACAUCCCCCCUUCUAAUUAAUAUCAUUUUUCUUCCAUUUCAUGUGUGUUUCACGGCGAACGGAGACAACAAAACCUGUGGCUGUGUCGUGGUGUUGGAGAUGGUGGGCCGUACAGUGCAGCGAGAACUAGGCGCGACAGCGAUGAGGAGCAGAAAGUGUUGUGCUAAUUUUUCUCUGUGCGAGUGUAAAAAGUGUUUGUUAAAUUAUGUGCGUUAAUCUAGAAUUAAGUGCAGUGGUUAUUGUGCAUGUGUUGUGUUUUUUGUGUAUUUAUGUUAUAUAAAAUAUUUAAUAAAUCGAAUCAUGUUGAUAUAAUGGUUCGCACUGUAUCAUUUUGGAAAGAAAUCCUGGCAAAAAAGGGGGAGGGGGCUAUUUUACCGAAGGUUCGUGCCGAACCCCGUUCGGGUUUUGCUUCGGCCUCGGGUUUACUUCGGCUUCGGGACCCGACGGAUCACUUGAAUAAUUUCGCCAACUCAAGUUCUUUUUCAAGCGCGUAUUCAAGCGAUCUCUGAGUGCUGGUGCCCGCCCAGAUAGCAAAGCCGAAGGCCUUUGUAUAGGAGCCAUGGCGCUGAUCAAGGCUCACUUUUUCGCGCGCAUAAAGCAAAAAGUGCGCGAAGGCGAAAAAAAACCCGAAAGCGCUUCGUGUCCUCUCUCGUCCCACCGGCCACCAGCACUCAGAGAUCCGCUGAGAUUGAAGCUGGCUUUGAAGCUGAGUUGGCGAAAUUAUUCAACCGAUCCGUCGGGUCCCGAAGCCGAAGUAAACCCGAAGCCGAAGCAAAACCCGAACGGGGUUCGGCACGAACCUUCGGUAAAAUAGCCCCCUCCCCCUUUUUUGCCAGGAUUUCUUUCCGAAAUGAUACAGUGCGAACCAUUAUAUCAACAUUAUUCUAUUUAUUGAAUAUUUUAUAUAACAUAAAUACAAAAAAAAACACAACACAUGCACAAUAACCACUGCACUUAAUUCUAAAUUAACGCACAUAAUUUAACAAACACUUUUUACACUCGCACAGAGAAAAAUCAGCACAGCACUUUCUGCUCCACAUCGCUGUCGCGCCUAGUUCUUCUCGCCCCUAACAGCAUUAAA